rnacentral:rRNA from 1 species
GACGAACGCUGGCGGCGUGCCUAAUACAUGCAAGUAGGACGCAGUUUCGAACGGGUGAGUAACGCGUAUUUAACUGCCUCUUAGCGGGGGAUAACUAUUGUACACGAUAGCUAAUACCGCCUCCUAGUAGAUGGACCUGCGUUGUAUUGGCUAGUAGGUAGGGUAAUGGCCUACCUAGGCAACGAUACAUUGCCGAGCUAGAAGGGGGAUCGGCCACACUGGGACGGGGACACGGCCCUGACUCCUACGGGAGGCAGCAGGAGGGAAUGUUUGGCAAUGGGGGGAACCCUGAACGAGCAACGCAGCGUGAGUGAAGAAGGUUUUCGGAUAGUAAAGCUCUGUUGUUAAGGAAGCGGUACUUAACCAGAAAGGGACGUCUAACUACGUGCCAGCAGCCGCGGUAAUUC